rnacentral:SRP_RNA from 1 species
GCAGCCGGGGCAUUAGCGGGGCCCUGUAACCUGCAGUCCGCUACAGCAGGGGCCAUGCCGAUCCGAGGGCCAGUCUUUAUGGAGCUGCCCUUCUUAAGUGGCGUUGACGUCUGGGUCUCAUGCGGCGGAAACCUGUGAACCGUGUCAGGGCAGGAAUGCAGCAGCACUAAGCAGGAGCUUCCGGGUGACGUGAGGGUGCCUGGGCUGAGCAGGCUGGGGAGGUAACGUCUGUGGGGCCUGGUUCGGAGUGAGGCGCACGG